rnacentral:snRNA from 18 species
GUCUUUAUGCAGGGGCAUUACGUGUAUCAGUGAGGAUUCGUCCGAGAUCAUGUUUUUGCUGGUUGAAAACUUAAACCUGACAACUUCUUGAAUGCUAUAGUAUUUUACUUGUGUGUUUAAGAGAAUUUUUGGAACCAUUUUUUUUCAUAAUCAUCAAACAUGUGGGAAAUCACGAAUAAUG